rnacentral:rRNA from 1 species
AAGGCUUGACAUGCACUAGAUCGCCACAGAGAUGUGGUUUCCCUUCGGGGCUGGUGUACAGGUGGUGCAUGGUUGUCGUCAGCUCGUGUCGUGAGAUGUUGGGUUAAGUCCCGCAACGAGCGGAACCCCUAUUCUAUGUUGCCAGCAAUUCGGUUGGGGACUCAUGGGAGACUGCCGGGGUCAACUCGGAGGAAGGUGGGGACGACGUCAAAUCAUCAUGCCCCUUAUGUCUUGGGCUUCACGCAUGCUACAAUGGCCGGCACAAUGGGUUGCGAGACUGUGAGGUUGAGCUAAUCCCAUAAAACCGGUCUCAGUUCGGAUUGGGGUCUGCAACUCGACCCCAUGAAGUCGGAGUCGCUAGUAAUCGCAGAUCAGCAACGCUGCGGUGAAUACGUUCCCGGGCC